rnacentral:misc_RNA from 1 species
AACCUAGCACACCUGCGGUGUGUACCUGCGGAGGGAUCAUUACUGAGUUAGGGUCCUCGUGGCCCGACCUCCAACCCUUGUGUUUACCAAACCACGUUGCUUCGGCGGGCCCGUCCUCCCCCUCCCGGGGGAACGACCGCCGGGGGGUCUCCUGUAGACUUCCUGGCCCGCUGCCCGCCGGCGGCCAACCUCAAAAACUCUUUGUACAAACACUUGUCGUCUGAGUUAUACCUUUGAUAU